rnacentral:rRNA from 1 species
GACGAACGCUGGCGGCGUGCUUAACACAUGCAAGUCGAACGGAAAGGCCCUGCUUUUGUGGGGUGCUCGAGUGGCGAACGGGUGAGUAACACGUGAGUAACCUGCCCUUGACUUUGGGAUAACUUCAGGAAACUGGGGCUAAUACCGGAUAGGAGCUCCUGCUGCAUGGGGGGGGUUGGAAAGUUUCGGCGGUUGGGGAUGGACUCGCGGCUUAUCAGCUUGUUGGUGGGGUAGUGGCUUACCAAGGCUUUGACGGGUAGCCGGCCUGAGAGGCGGACCGGCGACCUUGGGACUGAGGGACGGCCCAGACUCCUACGGGAGGCAGCAGUGGGGAAUAUUGCGCAAUGGGCGGAAGCCUGAUGCAGCAACGCCGCGUGCGGGAUGACGGCCUUCGGGUUGUAAACCGCUUUCGACUGUGACGAAGCGUGAGUGACGGUAAUGGGUAAAGAAGCACCGGCUAACUACGUG